AGUAUAACAACUCUGUACUUGUGAAACUGCGAAUGGCUCAUUAAAUCAGUUAUAGUUUAAGUGGUGUUACCUUUUUUUACUACUUGGAUAACCGUAGUAACAUAGAGCUAAUACAUGCAAAUACUUCUGACCGCAAGGAAGGGAGGCACUUAUUAGAUUACAAACCAAUCCAUGUAAAAGUGGUAUUAGGUGAUUCAUAGUAAGGUUGGAAAUCGUAUGGGAGCAAUCCUGACGAUGUACCACUCAAAUUUCUGCCCUAUCAACUUUGGAUGGUAGUAUAGAGGACUACCAUGGUGAUAACGGGUAACGGAGAAUUAGGGUUCGAUUCCGGAGAGGGAGCCUGAGAAAUGGCUACCACUUCUAAGGAGGGCAGCAGGCGCGCAAAUUACCCAAUCCUAAUACGGGGAGGUAGUGACAAUAAAUAACAAUGCUGGGUCUUAGACUUAGUAAUUGGAAUGAGAACAAUUUAAACCCCUUAUCGAGUAACCAUC
rnacentral:rRNA from 1 species